GAAAAACCAUCCACAAAAUUUAGAAAGUAAUAGUGUCCGUCUAUUGAGGCUUUCGGUAUCGGGCCCCAUAGAUCCGCAUAUACGAUAUCUAAAACUUGUUUAGCAGAGUUCUCUGGACGUGAGGGGGAGGGGAGACGAUGGUGUUUUGCUAUUACACAUGAAUUACAAGGAGGAAUUAUUUUAUUCAAUAACGGUGAUACACCCAAUGAAAAAUUUUAACAACUGAUUUAGUUAACUUUUCCGAGACGGGGCCAAGGCGAUAGUGCCAGAGAGUCAUCGAGAUACUGUCCACCGUAUUUGCUUCUUUCUUCUUGCUUCUUUCUUCUUGCCGUCGAGACUGAUUUCUCCAGUCACAUACGGAAGGAGUCCGUAUCCGCGCAGGAAAGUGAGCACCUGUGCUUGCCAUACGAAGUAGUUGCUGCCGGCGAGACGUUCUGCACAUUGAUGCUUUAAUUUCUCAAUUUUCAUCUGACCUGUCGCGUUGCCGAAAAUGACGUCGCCGUGGAAAGUCAUAGUUUCCAGGGCAGAAUGGUUGCAGUUGAUUUCAGUUCUUGAAUCGGACGACGAUUGUGAGGACGAAGAUCGCGAGGACGAAGACUCGGUAGAAAUCAGCUUCGGAUUUGCAAUGCGUACGGACGUGUUGCGAAGAUGUCGAGUUACGGCAGAAAUCGAAUUUAGCCGAAAUUAAAUUCAGCAGAAAUUCAACCGACAGAAAUCAAAUUCAGAAGAAUUUAAAAGUUGCAAACCGUGUUGCGGAGGUGUCGCGGCAGAAAUCUGAAAUGAAAAUCGCUGAAACGUGCAGAAACGGCGUGCUCGCGGAUGAAAUCGACAGGAGCAGAAUCGUAGAUCGGACGAUGAUUGAACGAGACCGGAGCCGUAGAACUCGCGUGGAUGAAAUCGACGUUGCCGAACCCGGAGUUGAAACCGCAAGAAUCGCACAAAAUCCAAAUCGUAUAUCUUAUUAUCUUAUUAUAAAUUUGCUGGUUUCAUUUUAGAGGUAUAUCUUAUUAUAAAUUUGUUAUAUGUGCUGUUAUUUCAUUUUAGAUAGUAUAUUUUAUUACCAAUUUCAUCUCAUUCUAUAUCGUUGAAAUUAUUGCUGCAGAUUGUUGCGAUUUACAAUCUUGCAAUUUUUUUUUUUGCAUCUACAUUGCUGCUGUAAUUUUGCUUCGCGAUUCUGGAUUUCGCAUUUUGCGAUUGGAUUUAUCACAAUUUUGAAAUAUGCAUUCUUUGAAUUUCUUAUUUUUGCAUUCUGGUUCGGGAUUUCUGCUCGCCGUUUGGUUAGUUGUAUCAUUUUAUUUAUUUAUUUUUAUUUUCUUUUGUGUAUUUAUAUUUUAGUUACUUGCAAAGUCUGCUCUAUUGCGACUAUGGCUCAUGCGACCAUAACAUCUGCUAGGUCUGCUGCAUCCGCUGCAACUGCAAGCAACAGAGAGUCGAUUCUUCCCGACUCAUUGCUAAAAUGUCAAGUUACACAUCACAUUCGCACACCACUGGAAGGGGCUGUCACCUAUCUUUUUUGGAAGGUCCAGAUGGAGAAUUUAUUCUGAAUCCACCAUGUUGACGAUAUUGUUAGCGAUCAACAAAUAAUUCUCCCCGAAAAGAACGUUGAUGGCUCACCAAACAUUGAGCAUCAGAUUUGGAAAGAGAAAAUUGGGUUGUAUUGGGGUAGAUACAAUCGGUCGUUGCCCCCCAAUAUUUUCUCUUGUUCUCAAUCAUGCUGGAUUGUUGCAAGAAGCUUGAGAUUCACCUAUCACCAUGAAAGACAAUAUACACACAAGGGGUUUGUGACGAGCUUCGACGACUAAAGAAGAUGGAUGACAAAUCUAUGAGGGAUUAUGUUAUCAAAGUUAGAGCGCUCGCGAACUCACUAGCUGUUGCCAGUGACACAAUUAAGGAUCGUGAUAUUGUGGAUUUUGUUAGCUAUGGUUUGGGUCCGGAGUACAUGCCGUUUAUUUGUUCUUUACAUUCUCAGUCAAAUGUUAUCUUCGAUAAUUUUUUGCAGUUAUAGAUUAUGGAAGAUGCCUAUCUAUGCCAAAUGAAUUAUAAAUCAACAACGACUACUACUGAAAAUCCAUCUGCCUUUUCUGCUAACUAAUCGAUUCGACAAAAAUAAUCGGGGCAAUGGAGGAGGUCGUUUUCAAAAAUAUGGAAAUAUGGAAAAUAGAUGGCGUCGAAUUCCUGAAA
rnacentral:lncRNA from 1 species